GGAAGGAUGGAUGGGGCGUCCUCACUCAGCUCAGGCAACUGUGCUGUUUCAAAACCCUGGCCCAAGUCUGAUCUGGGGACAGGGCGCCAGGAGGCUCUGGGGGUAACAGGGCAGCCCUUCUUCCAGAGCAGGGGCUGCUUGUGAAAGAUCACAUCUGAUUCCUAAAGUGCUGGUAUAAAUGCAGCAGAGAAAGAGGUCACCCCCACCCCACCCCGGCACAGACAUCAGCAGCACAUGAAAGGAGACACACAGAGGAAGGACUCACACCCAAAGAAAUGCAACUCUUCACCAGAAACCAAAGACAGGAAAAUUACACCAGGAGGCCAUUUGGAGCCUGUCGAGUCAGCCAAGGGCCUGGAAGAGUGGCCCAAGGAGUGGUGGAACAUCCUAUCCUGCCAGCCACGGUCUCUUUGUCACAGCAUUUGGCCUGAAGGCACCCUCCCCCACCAGGCAAAAGACUGCAGAAGAUAAGAAGAAUGCACUAAGAAUCUGGUCCACUCCUGUCUGAUGGCAAACUGGCCACUGUCUCUCUGCAGGGCAGUGAGGCGAUUUGCAGAAAGUCUGAAACUUUGCUCUACUUUUAACCCAGUGAUUCCGCUCUAGGCUAUGUCCUAAGGGACUCAUUCUCAAAACAAAUUAAAAAAAUUUAUACUCACAGCAUUUUGUCACAGUGUUUUUCUUUUUCUUUUUUUUUUUUUUUUUUUCCUUAAGGCUACACCUGCAGCAUAUGGAAGUUCCCAGGCAAGGGGUCGAAUCAGAGCUACAGCUAUCAGCUUAAGCCACAGCCACAGCUACACCAGAUCCUGGC
rnacentral:lncRNA from 1 species